GCACAAGCGGUGGAUGAUGUGGAUUAAUUCGAUGCAACGCGAAAACCUUACCUACCCUUGACAUGCCAGGAACCCUGCUGAGAGGUGGGGUGCUCGAAAGAGAGCCUGGACACAGGUGCUGCAUGGCUGUCGUCAGCUCGUGUCGUGAGAUGUUGGGUUAAGUCCCGCAACGAGCGCAACCCUUGUCAUUAGUUGCCAUCAUUCAGUUGGGCACUCUAAUGAGACUGCCGGUGACAAACCGGAGGAAGGUGGGGAUGACGUCAAGUCCUCAUGGCCCUUAUGGGUAGGGCUUCACACGUCAUACAAUGGUCGGUACAGAGGGUUGCCAAGCCGCGAGGUGGAGCCAAUCCCAGAAAGCCGAUCGUAGUCCGGAUCGGAGUCUGCAACUCGACUCCGUGAAGUCGGAAUCGCUAGUAAUCGCGGAUCAGCAUGCUGCGGUGAAUACGUUCCCGGGUCUU
rnacentral:rRNA from 1 species